UUCGACCUCAAAUCAGGUAA
rnacentral:rRNA from 1 species